UACAGAGGUGCCAAGCGUUAGGCGGAAUCACUGGGCUUAAAGUGCGUGUAGGUGGACGGGUAAGUAUCUUGUGAAAUCCCACGGCUCAACCGUGGAACUGCUGGAUAUACUGCUUGUCUUGAGGCACUUAGGGGCAGCUGGAACAAAUGGUGGAGCGGUGAAAUGCGUAGAUAUCAUUUGGAACGCCAAAGGCGAAAGCAGGCUGCUGGGAGUGAUCUGACACUGAGACGCGAAAGCCAGGGGAGCAAACGGG
rnacentral:rRNA from 1 species